GGCUUGUCCAAAGGUAGUGAGUUAUCCCAACUGAUUGUUCACAGUCAGUUACAGAUCGAACUCCUUCCCUGAUCCUCACGACUGCACUUGGCUAGUCUUAA
ensembl:Y_RNA Y_RNA Y RNA